rnacentral:rRNA from 1 species
UACAGAGGGUGCGAGCGUUAAUCGGAAUUACUGGGCGUAAAGCGUGCGUAGUCGGUUAUUUAAGUCGGGUGUGAAAGCCCCGGGCUCAACCUGGGAAUUGCAUUCGAUACUGGAAUAGCUAGGAGUCGGAGAGGGAAGCGGAAUUUCCGGUGUAGCGGUGAAAUGCGUAGAUAUCGGAAGGAACAUCAGUGGCGAAAGCGGCUUCCUGGACCAGAACUGACGAUCAGGCACGAAAGCGUGGGGAGCAAACAGG